UACGGGGGGAGCAAGCGUUGUUCGGAUUUAUUGGGCGUAAAGGGCGCGUAGGCGGCGCAACAAGUCACUUGUGAAAUCUCCGGGCUUAACUCGGAGCGGCCAAGUGAUACUGUCGUGCUAGAGUGCGGAAGGGGCAACUGGAAUUCUCGGUGUAGCGGUGAAAUGCGUAGAUAUCGAGAGGAACACCUGCGGCGAAGGCGGGUUGCUGGGCUGACACUGACGCUGAGGCGCGAAAGCCAGGGGAGCGAACGGG
rnacentral:rRNA from 1 species